rnacentral:rRNA from 1 species
CCUACGGGAGGCAGCAGUGAGGAAUAUUGGUCAAUGGGCGCUAGCCUGAACCAGCCAAGUAGCGUGCAGGAUGACUGCCCUAUGGGUUGUAAACUUCUUUUAUAUGGGAAUAAAGUGCAGUAUGUAUACUGCUUUGCAUGUACCGUAUGAAUAAGGAUCGGCUAACUCCGUGCCAGCAGCCGCGGUAAUACGGAGGAUCCGAGCGUUAUCCGGAUUUAUUGGGUUUAAAGGGAGCGUAGGCGGGUUGUCAAGUCAGUUGUGAAAGUUUGCGGCUCAACCGUAACCUUGCAGUGGAUACUGGCGGCCUUGAGUACAGUAGAGGUAGGCGGAAUUCGUGGUGUAGCGGUGAAAUGCUUAGAUAUCACGAAGAACUCCGAUUGCGAAGGCAGCCUGCUGGACUGGAACUGACGCUGAUGCUCGAAAGUGUGGGUAUCGAACAGGAUUAGAUACCCGAGUAGUC